AACCCAUGGUGAGGGCACCUUCUUAAUAGAUCCUUGUAUCUCUUCCAUGCGUCAUAGAGUAUUUCUAAAUCCAUCUGCACAAAAGAAGAAAUAUCAUUCCUUAAUUU
rnacentral:snoRNA from 1 species